rnacentral:tRNA from 1 species
AGCGGGUAUAGUUUAGUGGUAAAACCCUAGCCUUCCAAGCUAAUGAUGCGGGUUCGAUUCCCGCUACCCGCUU